AGUGAACGCUGGCGGCGUGCUUAACACAUGCAAGUCGAGCGAGAUCUGACAGCACACCGUCAGGUCUAGCGGCAGACGGGUGAGUAAUAUUUGGGCAAUCUGCCCUUGAGUGGGGGACAACCUGCCGAAAGGCGGGCUAAUACCCCAUAAGACCACAGGGAUGCAUAUUCCAGGGGUCAAAGCUCCGCAAGGGGCGCUUAAGGAGGAGCCCGAAUCCUAUCANGGUAGUUGGCGAGGUAAUGGCCCACCAAGCCGUUGACGGGUAGCCGGCCUGAAAGGGCAACCGGCCACACUGGCACUGAGACACGGGCCAGACUCCUACGGGAGGCAGCAGUGGGGAAUUUUGGACAAUGGGGGCAACCCUGAUCCAGCGACGCCGCGUGAAGGAUGAAGGUC
rnacentral:rRNA from 1 species